rnacentral:lncRNA from 1 species
GUCUGCAGUCAGCAACCAAGAUCUUCUAAGGGUGUUGCUGGUUCUCACAGAUCUUCUUAAGGUGCUGUUGUAGGAUCAUCUCAGAGAUGCUAGACGGUGCUAGCUUGGUUGGAUUAAGUGGUGCUGACCCAGGUGCUAGCUUGCUGGUUUUGAUGGUAGGAAGGGUGCUGGGAGCAAUUUUGGACUACAAUCAUGUAGUGUUGGCUUUUGGACUCGAACCUGAUGGAUUUUUGCUAAAGUAUUAACAUUGUUUACUAGCUGGUGUUGACUAAGGUGCAAGCUUGUUGGCUUGAUGGUAGGAAAGUUGCUGGAAGCAGUUCUGGACUACAAUCUUGUAGUUUUGGCUUCUGUACUCGAACCUAAUAGCUAGAUAUUGUAUACAGCUACUAUAUGUGCUUGUAUGUUGUGGCUUGAUAUAAACAAUUAAGCUUCAACUAGUGACAUG